CAGUUCUGGUCAAGCUCCCUGUGUCGGCACCAGGGGUGGAGGCACGCAGCCUCUGGCUCCACGGGCUGGCAUGCAGCUGCGAGCUGAUGGCUCCAACUGUGCUGUUAUCGCGCUCGCCUUUCAGUGGGAAAGGCAGAAAUCGCUCUCACGUCUCUGUUAAUACGCCGUCUCCUGGACUUUUCACUUCCAUUAGGUGUCAUGCACUCCCUUUGGUUCUCUCCGUGCAGGGAUGGUGAUGAAACAGAGCCAGUGCAGCUGGGAAAUUGGAGGACGGGUGCAGGUCAUGUAAAGCCUCCGGAAAGCACUAACUUGCUAGAGCAGUCCACCAGCAGCAGAGUUUUAGAUGGCACCAGGAAUGAGGAAACUUGGCUAUUUUCAUCCUAGCUGCCUCCAUCUCCUAAUGACACCUGCAGAGCUUCAGACUUUUUUUUUCCUUUUGCCAAAUCCUGCCUGGCUUACCACGGAGCCAUGGCCAAUGAGGACACAUAAAAUAUUACAAUAUUAGUAACUUGUUUGAACGUUGCUAUGAAACAGGUCAGAAGGGCCAGCGUGAGGCCCUGUUUUUGCAGUCACCUGCAGAGGAAAAGAG
ensembl:lncRNA